GUGAAAUUGGUCUUUAAUAGCCAGCCUAUUAAAAUAAAAGGAAAGACACAGUUGAGCAAUAGCCUGGGCCUACUAAAGGAAGGGCCUACUGUGGGGGAAGGGGAACCCGGCCCUUUCAAAAGGUCAGAUAACGCUGUGAGAUGCAGACUCAGGGCUCCUCUGGCUCUGAGGGAACAGACUUCAGAUCAGUGCUAUGCUCAGCAUCGCCGCUUGCUGCCCAGAUGUUCAGAUGGGUUCACUCUUCCCCAAACUGAAGAAGAGACUCUCCUAGACCUACUAGUCAUGUCCAUCCUUGGCCCUGGGUUGCCAGAUAUGGAACACAAAAGCAGGCAAACACAACCUGCUGCAGACUCAACAUGGCAAUGUGGCAUAGAUGAGAUAGCUUGGAUCCUAGAAGGACUACAAGACAGAUGCAGAGCUGGUUAAUUUUCUCAUGAACAGGUAA
rnacentral:lncRNA from 1 species